AACCAGUCCCAUGGCAGAGUAGCCAAGUCCGGAAGGGAUAAACGCUGAAGGCAUCUAAGCGUGAAGCCCCCCUCAAGAUGAGAUAUCCGGAUUCAGAAGAAUGAAGGUCCCUUGAAGACUACGAGGUAGAUAGGUCCGGGGUGUAAGCACAGCAAUGUGUUCAGCUGACGGAUACUAAUAGACCGGAAGCUUGACCAG
rnacentral:ncRNA from 1 species